GGGGGUGUAGUUCAGUUGGNUAGAACGCCUGCCUGUCACGCAGGAGGCCGCGGGUUCGAGUCCCGUCACUCCCGCCA
rnacentral:tRNA from 1 species